GGUGUCGAAAGACUUAAUAGGGAAGCCGGAGAGCAAGAUGCCGGCGCGGUCCCGCCACUGUAACAGCGAGUGAAUCUGCAUAAGUUAUGUCACUGGGAGAUGGGUGCAUCUUUUGGGAAGGCGCAGAAGAACGAUGACCUGGAGCCAGGAGAACUGCCUGAUUAC
rnacentral:ncRNA from 1 species